GUGCUCUCUUUGGCAGCACAUUUUCUAAAAUUGGGACAAUACAGAGAAUAAUAUGGUCCCAUGCAAGAAUGACACGCAAAUUCAUGAAUCAUACCAUAUAUUU